rnacentral:tRNA from 1 species
GGGGGCGUAACUCAGCGGGAGAGUGCCACACUGGCAGUGUGGAAGUCAGGGGUUCAAAUCCCCUCGUCUCCA